CCUACGGGAGGCAGCAGUGGGGAAUAUUGCACAAUGGGGGAAACCCUGAUGCAGCGACGCCGCGUGAGUGAAGAAGUAAUUCGUUAUGUAAAGCUCUAUCAGCAGGGAAGAAAAUUACGGUACCUGAGUCAGAAUCCCCGGCUAACUACGUGCCAGCAGCCGCGGUAAUACGUAGGGGGCAAGCGUUAUCCGGAUUUACUGGGUGUAAAGGGAGCGUAGACGGCUGUGCAAGUCUGGAGUGAAAGGCGGGGGCUCAACCGCCAGACUGCUCUGGAAACUGUACGGCUGGAGUGCAGAAGAGGUAAGUGGAAUUCGUAGUGUAGCGGUGAAAUGCGUAGAUAUUAGGAGGAACACCAGUGGCGAAGGCGGCUUACUAGACUGUAACUGACAUUGAGGCUCGAAAGCGUGGGGAGCAAACAGGAUUAGAUACCCGUGUAGUC
rnacentral:rRNA from 1 species